AAUACGUUCCCGGGUCUUGUACACACCGCCCGUCAAGCCAUGAAAGUCGCCGAUACCUGACGUACUAGCUUGCCUAGUCCUAAGGUAGGGGAGAUGAUUGGGGUU
rnacentral:rRNA from 1 species